GUGCUGGCUUCGGCAGAACAUAUACUAAAAUUCGAAGGAUACAAAGAAGAUUAGCACGGCCCCUGCACAAGGAUGACAUGCAAGUUCAUGAAGCAUUCCAUAUUUUU
ensembl:snRNA U6 U6 spliceosomal RNA